rnacentral:lncRNA from 1 species
AGGGCACCCAAAUGGGUAAAGAAGUAGAGGGGAAAAAAGGAUAAGAAGCAAGCCCAAGACAGAGUGCCUCAUGGGACUGCUAUAACCAGUGCAGGCAUAUCACAGAUACAAAGAUUCCCUGAGGACCCAAGUCAGGACGGUGGUUUUGAUUUCAGGAUGAAGCAUGGACCCAGGAUACAGUAGGCACUCAAUCAUUGCUGCAGAAUACAGUAGGCACACAACCAUCUCGGAAGAGACAACACUCUGUUUCAUUUUCUAGCCACAUGAACUCAGCUGUGACUCUUGACAUUGCCCAUGUGAUAGAGGUCGAUGACAGCUCACCUCUUGGGGGGGGGGUCUGUGAUGAUGCUUCCAGAGACAGGCUAGAAGGGUUCGGAAUGAAGAGAAUUCAUGCUUCGAUGAAUCCACAACAUGGCAGCACUGUUGGGAAGUGCUCAAAGGUUUUGCAAACCUGGAUAAAUAAACAAUCAACCAAGCAGUGGCAAGAGGACCCAAGCACUUGACUGUGAGGUAUUUUCAGACCUACUGUGUGUGGCUGUGUGCUAGUUUGGGGAGCCACUAACAGACGAAAGCAAGAAAACAGUCAGGGUGAAGAAUGAUACAAAGAGCUCUCUAUCAGUGCUGGAGUCAUCUUCUCAACUUUUUAACUGUGCCUUUGGGCAAGUGACUUAAAUGGCUCUGUGCCCCUCUUCCUCAUCUGCAGACAGUGUCAUGGUUUGCACAGAACUCUCUGUGGAGGUGGCU